rnacentral:rRNA from 1 species
AUUGAACGCUGGCGGCAUGCCUAACACAUGCAAGUCGGACGAGCGGCGGACGGGUGAGUAAUGUAUUGGCACCUGCCUGAUCGAGGGGGAUAACUACUGGAACCGGUAGCUAAUACCGCAUACCAUCAGAUGACCCCAUAUGGGAUUAGCUGGUAGGUGAGGUAACGGCUCACCUAGGCGUCGAUCCCUAGCUGGCCUGAGAGGAUGAUCAGCCACACUGGGACUGAGACACGGCCCAGACGCCUACGGGAGGCAGCAGUGGGGAAUAUUGCACAAUGGGCGCAAGCCUGAUGCAGCCAUGCCGCGUGUAUGAAGAAGGCCUUCGGGUUGUAAAGUACUUUCAGUCGGGAGGCGGUACCGACAGAAGAAGCACCGGCUAACUCCGUGCCAGCAGCCGCGGUAAUUC